UACAUUUUCCACCCUUGUGCUAUACAUAAAAAAAAAAAAGGAAGAUUUGGGUCUUCGGAUAUAUCCUCAUGAUUGCCAAAAUCCACGUUCUCGAGGUACAGGUACCGAAGCGUCCAAUGUUCCAAGCGCAUAGUCCACAAAUGGUUUCCAAGUCUUCCAGAAAAUAUCUUCUUUAGGAGUCAUUGCUUUUGUGCUGCCUGAUUCUGCAUAAUGCUAAAAAGAAUUACUGUAAAUUCAGAUGUUUAACAUAUACAUUUAUUCAUUUAUUUAGACUCAACAAUUAUAGAAACAUUUUAUCAAUUUUUGAGAACAGGUUUGUAAACUAUACCUUAUACUAAGAAGCUGGAUCUACCUAUACUUAAAUGAGAGAGAUUUCCUACUAGCAGUAUGAAAAUGAGAUUAUUUGAUUCAAAAUUGAUAGAUCUUAAGGGGCUUCUGUAAGACUGAAUUCUCAAAGCAACAGGGUUAAAUUGACUUUGUAUAUCAUCCACAUCAUGAUCCCUGGCACCAAUGACAUCAACAUUGAAAACACUUUAGAAAUGUAAAAAGUAUCCAAAAAAACACCUAUUCACUUAAGGAAAGUGAAUUCUCUAGUUCAGUCUUAGAAGAAACACCCAAAAGCUUGAACUGAGAAUUAAAGGGUGAAUUUACAGUAAACUCUUAAGGUAUUUGGUUUGGUUGUAGGCUCUUUAAACCUAGCCAACUGUGAUUCAUUCCGUAAACUAUGCUUAAACAAACUAUCACUUAACACAACAUAGAAACCCACAUUAAAAAUUAACAUUGUUCAUUAGUCAGAGGCUGAACAUGAUCUGUGUAUAGGCACAGUUUAGAGGCUGACCAUGAGGAUAAGUAGAAUACUUGAUUAUAAUUUCUUUUAUUAAUAACUUCAUUCAAUAAAACAUUUUAGCUAUAUUAGUAACAAUGGAAAAUAUCAAAAUAGAGCAAAAUUUGGAAAGUUAGCAAUAAUUUUCUUAAAACAGGAAUGGAGAGCCUCUGAACCUUCCAAUAUUAAAUGCCAAACGGCAUGGCCACUGUUCAGAAUUGCAAAGACAGUGAAAUGUAAAAAAAUCAAAGGUCUACUUGUAUAUGAUUCAUAAUGCAAACCAUUCCUCAAUCUAUAUAAUUUGUGCUCAUUUCUAAGGGGAAGGUCACAGCAUACUGAGACCACCAAUAUGCCACAGAAGAAAUACCGAGGUAUAAAGAUCUAUCUUUCUAGUGAAAGAGGGUUACUAAGAGCCUGCAUGGAUGGAUUUUAGAAAUAUUCUAUAUAGGAACAUCCAUCAGGGGUUGUCUAACAGUAUUAACUAGCUAGCAUAACAAAGUUGGCAUGGGAGAUUUAAAAGUAAUACUCCAUGGGAUUGUAAAUGUACAUGCAUUCCAUUGUAUACUUUCUUAAAACUCUCUUUAGAUAUGGAAAGAAAAGUAAUUGUCUCAACAAUUUGACAUUGAGGAUACAAGUAAAGUGUAUAUUGAUUCCUUUCAGUUUUGAGAAUUCAGAAAGGGUUAUUUCUAUCAAACAUUAAUUAAAUAUUAAUGAUUGCAUGGAUUUGGGUUUUUUUGAUCUAUUUAAAAUUGCACUGAUGCCUGUAUUGUUACUUAUGAGGGUUUUUAACAAUAUCAUUACCAAUAAAAUACAUAAUGCUGAUAUUUUUCACUCCAAACUAGCUAUUGUGAAGAAAUGUAUUUAUAGCAAUGCUGAUGCAUGACUAUAUAUUUAUCUGUUACUGUGUUCCUACUUAGCAUGCCAAAACCACAGCAAAAAUUCUAUUUCUUUUCCUAUUUUGUUCCAAACUGGUGUUUUAUGCCUAGAUUAUAAUGUACUUAAUACCCUUUGAUAAUGAUUAAAGAAACCUACAAUUUUGGAGGAUAACAUUUUUGUAAUACUGCAUUGCGACAUAAAAUAAACUGGUGUCAAGGGACUUGGAUGGUUUAAAGCUGCUGGUAGUUGCUAGGCAACAGCAUUCUGUUCACAGGCUGAUGGAUUGAUCAAUUUGCUUAGCAAUAGUGUUGCAGAGUUAAGAAUGUGUUUGAUGGAAUAGGUGAUCAUUUAUUAGCAGUUAGAACCUUGUUUGUAAAUAAACAAUUUCAAAUAUCAGUACUUUGCUUUAGAGAGCAUUUCUCUUACAUAGGCUGGUAUUUCUCAACCUUGAGAAAGCUGCCUCAAGCCUGACUAAAGAAUUCUGGGAAUUGAAGUCCAUGCAUCUUCAAGUAGUCCAGGUUGAGAAAUAGAAUAGGCAAUAUGGUGGUCCCCACUACAGUCCCCCGCAUACAUGCCACCAAGAAUACUUCAUCCCAGUCUGAACUACAGUUUGAAUAGGUCAGGAAGAUUGACCACAAUCUGCUGGGCCAUAUUAAUAAGAGCAGUUUCAGGCCUGUUAAAUGUGUGAUGUAAAGGUGCUGUGUGCAGCUAUAGAAAAUGAAGCUGCUUUUCACCAUAAACCAAAAGCAAACUGAGAAAUCUUUUUGGAAUGGACAAAUUAAAUAAUUUAAAAACAGAAGUGAUGUUUUCUAUGGCUUAUUUUGGAUCUUCCUCUUUUAGACAAGUCUUGCUUCCUUGCCCUCCUUCUGUGAUUUCAGUAACUUUUGGAAUGAAAGGCAGUUUCCUGAACUCUUGCUAUUUUUAAAAUAUGUAGAGAACUAGAAAGCGAAAAAGAACUAAAUUAUGUAUUCACCAGUUGCAGGUCUCUGUACUUGCAGAGAGAAGGAUAUGUAACAAAAAGAAAAAGAAGGAUUUUAAAUAGUCAUGCAGAAAACAGGAUUUAUAAUGAACUGAAAAUAUGGUUUUAGAAAUGUCCACUCAGAAAAUGUUCAUGAUGUUUUAAGAGCACUUCUUAAUGGCAUACGGCUUUGAUGCUGAGUAAUUGCUAAAUCUCUUAUCGUCAAAAUGCAAUCCAAGAUGAUGCUGAAAAUAUAUUAAAAAAAUCAAACGUCCUGAAUUGCAGUAGGGCUCAUCAAUUUUAAAAAGUGUGGUUACCCUAGAUUUUAUCCUGUAUUAGUUAUUUUGGGAAGAAGAAAUUUUGUAGUAGUGUUUUUUAACCUUGGCAACUUUAAGAUAUGUGAACUUCAACUCCCAGAAUUCUCCAGCCAACUUGUUGUGUAUUGAAUUCUGGAAAUUAAAAUUUAUAUAUCUUGAAAUUGCUAAGAAAAUUUAUUUAUCUUGAAAUAGGGGAGAGUUCCAGACUGAUUUCCUCUCAGGAGAAUGAAGCAGAUCUAAAGAUGGUUCCAACAUUUACCCAGUAUUUUUGUGUGUGUUUGUGUGUGCAGAUAUGGAAAUUGCAGUUGGGUCCUUUGUCCAAGAUGCCAAAAAGUGUGAUUUAUCCCAUUCCUUUUGGAUUUUAUAAUUGAAUUUGAACCCUCUGAACAAGAUGCCCGCCAGGGAUAUUUUAAAUUAUCGCCCCUUCUGAUUGGUAAUAAGGUGCUCCAGCAGCUGCCAUUUAAGUUUUAUGCUAUGAACAAGGACACCCAUGGGGAUCAGAAAAAAAUCAAGAUGGCAGCUGCAAUCGCACAAAGAUAUACCUCUUUUUUAUAUAAAAAGUUUUUUAUUUUGAACACAUUAAAACACAAGACAAACAUACAACAUUUAUAAACAUAUCACUGUUUCUUAUUAGCUAUUCAAAGCAGUCCUUUCUUACCAUUUAUACAUAUUUUAAUUAUAUCUUAUUCUACUUUUAUAUUAUCUAUCUUCCUUUAUUUCAUCUACAUUUCAUCUACGUUCAUCUACAUUUUCUUUAUUUCAUCUACAUACAGAUUUUACCCUGUUGUUCAAUUUUCAUUAUCUUUCCUAUUUUCUAACCAUUCAUACAAUCUACACCAGACCUUAUAAUAUUCUGUAUCCUCUGGGGUAAAUUAGGUUCUGAGAUAGUGACUAAUCUAGAGUCACU